rnacentral:rRNA from 2 species
CAUGCAGUCGAACGAGCUCUCCCAAAUUGAUUUUAUGCUUGCAUAAAUGAUUUUUGCAUUCAAGAGCGAGUGGCGAACUGGUGAGUAACACGUGGGUAACCUGCCCCGAAGCGGGGGAUAACAUUUGGAAACAAGUGCUAAUACCGCAUAAUUAGUUGGAACCGCAUGGUUCCAACUUGAAAGAUGGCUCUGCUAUCACUUUGGGAUGGACCCGCGCCGUAUUAGUUAGUUGGUGAGAUAAAAGCCCACCAAGACGAUGAUACGUAGCCGACCUGAGAGGGUAAUCGGCCACAUUGGGACUGAGACACGGCCCAGACUCCUACGGGAGGCAGCAGUAGGGAAUCUUCCACAAUGGACGAAAGUCUGAUGGAGCAACGCCGCGUGAGUGAUGAAGGUUUUCGGAUCGUAAAACUCUGUUGUUAAAGAAGAACAAGUGUUAGAGUAACUGUUAACACUUUGACGGUAUUUAACCAGAAAGCCACGGCUAACUACGUGCCAGCAGCCGCGGUAAUACGUAGGUGGCAAGCGUUGUCCGGAUUUAUUGGGCGUAAAGCGAGCGCAGGCGGUUUUGUAAGUCUGCUGUGAAAAGCCCUCAGCUCAACUGAGGAAGUGCAGUGGAAACUACAAAACUUGAGUACAGAAGAGGAAAGUGGAACUCCAUGUGUAGCGGUGAAAUGCGUAGAUAUAUGGAAGAACACCAGUGGCGAAGGCGGCUUUCUGGUCUGUUACUGACGCUGAGGCUCGAAAGCAUGGGUAGCGAACAGGAUUAGAUACCCUGGUAGUCCAUGCCGUAAACGAUGAAUACUAGGUGUUGGAGGGUUUCCGCCCUUCAGUGCCGCAGCUAACGCAUUAAGUAUUCCGCCUGGGGAGUACGACCGCAAGGUUGAAACUCAAAGGAAUUGACGGGGGCCCGCACAAGUGGUGGAGCAUGUGGUUUAAUUCGAUGCUACGCGAAGAACCUUACCAGCUCUUGACAUCUUCUGCCAACCCAAGAGAUUGGGCGUUCCCUUCGGGGACAGAAUGACAGGUGGUGCAUGGUUGUCGUCAGCUCGUGUCGUGAGAUGUUGGGUUAAGUCCCGCAACGAGCGCAACCCUUAUUAUUAGUUGCCAGCAUUUAGUUGGGCACUCUAGUGAGACUGCCGGUGAUAAACCGGAGGAAGGUGGGGACGACGUCAAAUCAUCAUGCCCCUUAUGAGCUGGGCUACACACGUGCUACAAUGGAUGGUACAACGAGUCGCGAAACCGCGAGGUCAAGCUAAUCUCUUAAAGCCAUUCUCAGUUCGGAUUGCAGGCUGCAACUCGCCUGCAUGAAGUUGGAAUCACUAGUAAUCGUGGAUCAGCAUGCCACGGUGAAUACGUUCCCGGGCCUUGUACACACCGCCCGUCACACCAUGAGAGUUUGUAACCAC